rnacentral:rRNA from 1 species
UCCAACCCAUGUGACGUUACCAAACUGUUGCCUCGGCGGGAUCUCUGCCCCGGGUGCGUCGCAGCCCCGGACCAAGGCGCCCGCCGGAGGACCAACCAAAACUCUUAUUGUAUACCCCCUCGCGGGUUUUUUUUAUAAUCUGAGCCUUCUCGGCGCCUCUCGUAGGCGUUUCGAAAAUGAAUCAAAACUUUCAACAACGGAUCUCUUGGUUCUGGCAUCGAUGAAGAACGCAGCGAAAUGCGAUAAGUAAUGUGAAUUGCAGAAUUCAGUGAAUCAUCGAAUCUUUGAACGCACAUUGCGCCCGCCAGUAUUCUGGCGGGCAUGCCUGUCCGAGCGUCAUUUCAACCCUCGAACCCCUCCGGGGGGUCGGCGUUGGGGAUCGGCCCUGCCUUGGCGGUGGCCGUCUCCGAAAUACAGUGGCGGUCUCGCCGCAGCCUCUCCUGCGCAGUAGUUUGCACACUCGCAUCGGGAGCGCGGCGCGUCCACAGCCGUUAAACACCCAACUUCUGAAAUGUUGACCUCGGAUCAGGUAGGAAUACCCGCUGAACUUAAGCAUAUCA